rnacentral:snoRNA from 1 species
GCUCUGUGAUGAGCCCAUGCGUGUCAUCUGAGCCUGGCUUCCCCGUUCUCAGCCCCGGGGAGUGUUCUACUUCCCUGGCCUGUCAGCUGGCCUCGUGUGGGAGUCUUGGCAAAGGAUCAGUCUUCCUAUCCUGAGAGC